rnacentral:tRNA from 1 species
AUCGGAGUAGUUUAAAAAAAACCUGAGUUUGUGGGACUCAAAUUAUGUCAUUGUGCAUUUCUGAUC